GGAUCAAGAAAUCCUUCUGAAGCC
rnacentral:siRNA from 1 species